GUGAAUCAUCGAAUUUUUGAACGCAAAUUGCACUCCCUGGUAUUCCGGGGAGUAUGCCUGUUUGAGGGUCGUUAGAAUGAAAAAUCAAGGCGUCUCUCUUUUUUUUAGGGGUGAUCGCGUCGGAGUUGAUCCGUCUUUCAAGUGUUAAUUCAUGUCGAAUUAGCUUAAAAUUCAUCCGUCCUGUACUAUUAAAGCGUAUUUAAUAUCAAGUUUGAUUAAGAACUCGCUAUAACGUACCAUCGCAUGUAUUACGUUUG
rnacentral:misc_RNA from 1 species